rnacentral:rRNA from 1 species
AGUGAACGCUGGCGGUAGGCCUAACACAUGCAAGUCGAACGGCAGCACAGUAAGAGCUUGCUCUUACGGGUGGCGAGUGGCGGACGGGUGAGGAAUACAUCGGAAUCUACUUUUUCGUGGGGGAUAACGUAGGGAAACUUACGCUAAUACCGCAUACGACCUACGGGUGAAAGCAGUGGAUCUUCGGACCUUGCGCGAUUGAAUGAGCCGAUGUCGGAUUAGAUAGUUGGCGGGGUAAAGGCCCACCAAGGCGACGAUCCGUAGCUGGUCUGAGAGGAUGGUCGACCACACGGGAACUGAGACACGGUCCAGACUCCUACGGGAGGCAGCAGUGGGGAAUUUUGGACAAUGGGCGCAAGCCUGAUCCAGCCAUACCGCGUGGGUGAAGAAGGCCUUCGGGUUGUAAAGCCCUUUUGUUGGGAAAGAAAAGCAGCAGGUUAAUACCCCGCUGUUCUGACGGUACCCAAAGAAUAAGCACCGGCUAACUUCGUG